UACGUAGGGGGCAAGCGUUAUCCGGAAUUACUGGGCGUAAAGCGCAACGCAGGCGGUUCGCCAAGUUUGGAGUGACAGUUGUCGGCUCAACCGAUAAAGGACUUCAAAAACUGGUGAACUUGAGAGCGAGAGAGGAACAUGGAACUCCAGGUGUGAGUAGUUGAAAUGCGUAGAUAUCUGGAAGAACACCAAAGGCGAAGGCAAUGUUCUGGCUCGUUUCUGACGCUCAGGUGCGAAAGCCAGGGGAGCAAACGGGG
rnacentral:rRNA from 1 species